rnacentral:rRNA from 1 species
GACAGAGGGGGCAAGCGUUGCUCGGAAUUACUGGGCGUAAAGGGCGCGUAGGCGGGAUGGCAAGUCGGUCGUGAAAUCCCUCGGCUCAACCGAGGAACGUCGAUCGAUACUGCUGUUCUUGAGGAUUGCAGAGGAGACUGGAAUUCCCGGUGUAGCGGUGAAAUGUGUAGAGAUCGGGAGGAACACCGGUGGCGAAGGCGGCCGACUGGGCCGACCCUGACGCUGAGGCGCGAAGGCGUGGGGAGCGAACGGG